GAUGAACGCUGGCGGCGUGCCUAAUACAUGCAAGUCGAGCGAACAGAUGAGGAGCUUGCUCCUCUGACGUUAGCGGCGGACGGGUGAGUAACACGUGGAUAACCUACCUAUAAGACUGGGAUAACUUCGGGAAACCGGAGCUAAUACCGGAUAAUCUAUUGAACCGCAUGGUUCAAUAGUGAAAGACGGUUUUGCUGUCACUUAUAGAUGGAUCCGCGCCGCAUUAGCUAGUUGGUAAGGUAACGGCUUACCAAGGCAACGAUGCGUAGCCGACCUGAGAGAGUGAUCGGCCACACUGGAGCUGAGACACGGUCCAGACUCCUACGGGAGGCAGCAGUAGGGAAUCGUCCGCAAUGGGCGAAAGCCUGACGCAGCAACGCCGCGUGAGUGAUGAAGGUCUUCGGAUCGUAAAACUCUGUUAUUAGGGAAGAACAAAUGUGUAAGUAACUAUGCACGUCUUGACGGUACCUAAUCAGAAAGCCACGGCUAACUACGUG
rnacentral:rRNA from 1 species